AACAUUUACCUACUUUUAACAUGCACAGACAUUACCCAGUUGAAUAUAUUGUGCAUAGUGAACAAUUAUGUUUGACAAAUUUGCUCCAUGAAAAUGGAGCAAAUUGUGCUUGAGUCUACAGGUCAAGAAGAUGAGAAAUGUCUGGUCUCGGCCACAGACACAAGACGAUGAACAAAUAGUCAUCAUUUGAAAAGUGUCACAAUAAGAAGUAAAUGUGCUGCUGCUGUGGUGCCAAGGCCUACCAACUUCAGAGGUGAUCUCUAGCAAAUGCAGCUGCCCUGCCAAGCACAAGAGAAGGGUUUGUGCUACCAGAGAUCUGAAUCUACUGGUGCUAGUAACGUAUGGAUGACCAGGGCUGGUCUCGACAUCUCUGCAGCAAUAAUAAAAGAUGGAAGACUGGCUGUACUAAUAUCAGCAGUGGAAGAGGAGGGACAUCACUAGAGAUCCCAUGGAUACUGAAAGG
rnacentral:lncRNA from 1 species